rnacentral:rRNA from 1 species
UACGUAGGGUGCGAGCGUUAAUCGGAAUUACUGGGCGUAAAGCGUGCGCAGGCGGCUUCGCAAGUCAGACGUGAAAUCCCCGGGCUUAACCUGGGAAUGGCGUUUGAAACUAAGGAGCUGGAGUGUGGCAGAGGGAUGUGGAAUUCCAGGUGUAGCGGUGAAAUGCGUAGAUAUCUGGAGGAACACCGGUGGCGAAGGCGGCAUCCUGGACCGGUAUUGACGCUGAGGCGCGAAAGCCAGGGGAGCAAACGGG